AUAGCUUCUCAGCCUUUUGGCUAAGAUCAAGUGUAGUAUCUGUUCUUAUUACUAAAAUCAAGAAACAAGACAGGACAAGAAAUCCUA
ensembl:snRNA U2 U2 spliceosomal RNA